UACGUAGGGUGCAAGCGUUGUCCGGAAUUAUUGGGCGUAAAGAGCUCGUAGGCGCCUGUCGCGUCGGCUGUGAAAACCCGGGGCUCAACCCCGGGCCUGCAGUCGAUACGGGCAGGCUAGAGUCCGGCAGGGGAGACUGGAAUUCCUGGUGUAGCGGUGAAAUGCGCAGAUAUCAGGAGGAACACCGGUGGCGAAGGCGGGUCUCUGG
rnacentral:rRNA from 1 species